rfam:Camelus ferus unplaced genomic scaffold scaffold1715, whole genome shotgun sequence.
GAGGGUAUAGCUCAGUGGUAGAGCUUGUGCUUAGCAUGCACGAGGUCCUGGAUUCAAUUCUCAGUCCCUCCA